rnacentral:rRNA from 1 species
UACGGGGGGGGGCAAGCGUUGUUCGGAAUUACUGGGCGUAAAGGGCUCGUAGGUGGCCAACUAAGUCAUGCGUGAAAUCCCUCGGCUUAACCGGGGAACUGCGUCUGAUACUGGAUGGCUUGGAGUUUGGGAGAGGGAUGCGGAAUCCUGGUGUAGCGGUAGAAUGCGUAGAUAUCAGGAGGAACACCGGUGGUGUAGACGGCUGCUCUGGACCGUAACUGACGCUGAGACACGAAAGCGUGGGUAGCAAACAGG